AUUGAACGCUGGCGGCAGGCUUAACACAUGCAAGUCGAGCGGAGACUUCGGUCUUAGCGGCGAACGGGUGAGUAAUACCUAGGAAUCUGCCUAUUAGUGGGGGAUAACGAAUCGAAAGGUUCGCUAAUACCGCAUACGUCCUACGGGAGAAAGGGGGGGAUCUUCGGACCUCUCGCUAAUAGAUGAGCCUAGGCCGGAUUAGCUAGUUGGUAGGGUAAAGGCCUACCAAGGCGACGAUCUGUAGCUGGUCUGAGAGGAUGGCCAGCCACACUGGAACUGAGACACGGUCCAGACUCCUACGGGAGGCAGCAGUGGGGAAUAUUGGACAAUGGGGGCAACCCUGAUCCAGCCAUGCCGCGUGUGUGAAGAAGGCCUUC
rnacentral:rRNA from 1 species